CAGGAUUCCCUCAGUAGCGGCGAGCGAACAGGGAAGAGCCCAGCGCCGAAUCUCGCGUCCGUGCGUCGGGCGUCGAGAAAUGUGGCGUUAGGGAGGGUCCGCCCAUCCCGUGACGGCUCGGCGCGUCCAAGUCCUUCUUGAACGGGGCCACUUACCCAGAGAGGGUGCCAGGCCCGUAGAGACCGCCGACCGCCGCGGGAGGACCUCUCCUCAGAGUCGGGUUGCUUGAGAGUGCAGCCCUAAGCGGGUGGUAAACUCCAUCUAAGGCUAAAUACGACCACGAGACCGAUAGCGAACAAGUACCGUGAGGGAAAGUUGAAAAGAACUUUGAAGAGAGAGUUCAAGAGUACGUGAAACCGUUCAGGGGUAAACCUGAGAAGCCCGAAAGGUCGACGGGGCAGAUUCAACCGCGUCUCGGCGCGCGGCGAGCGUGACGCGCGCGACGGCCCGGCGUUCGCGCCGGUCCGCGCCGCGCCAAGCCGUCCGCCGCCGAAUGCGUGCACUUCUGCCCCUGUAGGACGUCGCGACCCGUUGGGUGCCGGCCUAAGGCCCGCGGAGGAGACCGCGCGGACGCUCGCGUCCCGCUCGGACCCGCGGUGCUCCCGGCCGGCUCGCCCGACGGUAUGCGUGAGGCGUUGGGCCGCGACAGUUCGCGCUGUCGCGUCCGGCCCGCCGCAAGCUCGGACGGUAAACCGUCGGUCGGACCCGGUGCCGGCCCCGGUCCCGCCCGGCUGCUGGCGGCGGUGCCCUCGGACAGGCUUCGAGAGCGCCCGUCGGCGACGCAAUCGCUUUGGGCAGUUUCAGGACCCGUCUUGAAACACGGACCAAGGAGUCUAGCAUGUGCGCGAGUCUUCGGUGCUAAAACUAAGACCGCAGGCGAAAUGAAAGUGAAGGCCCGCCUAGCGCGGGCUCAGGGAGGAUGGGCGGCGUCCAGGCGCCGCCUCGCACUCCCGGGGCGUCUCGCGCUCAUCGCGAGCUGAGGCGCACCCAGAGCGUACACGCUGGGACCCGAAAGAUGGUGAACUAUGCCUGGUCAGGACGAAGUCAGGGGAAACCCUGAUGGAGGUCCGUAGCGAUUCUGACGUGCAAAUCGAUCGUCGGAACUGGGUAUAGGGGCGAAAGACUAAUCGAACCAUCUAGUAGCUGGUUCCCUCCGAAGUUUCCCUCAGGAUAGCUGGCGCUCGUAGAGCGAGUUUCAUCCGGUAAAGCGAAUGAUUAGAGGCAUUGGGGUCGAAACGGCCUCAACCUAUUCUCAAACUUUAAAUGGGUGAGAUCUCCGGCUUGCUCGAACUUGAAGCCGCGAGACGAAUUUUAACGCAGAAUCAGAG
rnacentral:rRNA from 1 species